GAGAGCUUCCAGGAAUGUUAGCAGAAGGCAAGCAGAAAUGUCAGAGCAGUGCUCUGUAGCAGCACUGCUCACCCCCGUACUUCUGCUGGGAUAUGACUGGACACCCUGGAGAGGGCACAUCAGCGGAAGAGGUCUGGGCAGGAGAUCCCAUCCAGGCAGGUGACGCUCGGGAUGCCCUUUCUAUCCCCUGCCAAGCAGCUGAGGAGCUCUAAUUACACAGCAGACAACACUGACAGGUUCUGGUCGUCAAUGCAUUUUAGUGACACUGGAAUCAGGCUGGACUUCCCAGCAAGAGCUGCUGAGGCUGCACUUGGGAGCCAGGAAAGACUCUGCACUCUUCAGCAAGGGCUUGAUCUUGAAGAACAGCUUCAUCCAUGGCCAGUGUUUGACAUUCAUGAAUGCACGAAUAUUGUACUGGAUGCAGAAGAUGGAUUCCCUGAAAGAUAAGUCAAAUUAAUAUUCAAUAUUUACACCACGAUGACACAAUAAGCCAAGUACAGUGACCCUGAUCUAAAGAUAAGUCUACCUUCUCUCCACCAUUUUCUGGUACUCCAUCCUCGCCAGGAAGCCCCUGCACCUGGCCUGGGUGCGGGUGAUGAGCUGUGCCAGCUUCUCAUCCCUCAUCUCUUCCAAAAGGCCUACCAGCCCAGCUUUGAAGAACACCUUAGGACUCUGUUGGGAAAUCCUUUCCUGCAGAUCCUGAUCCCUUCCAGCACGCCGUUACAGCGCAGCUGAUGCAGCACCAGCUCAUGCUCCAUGGCACCUGGCAAUGCAGAGCACAAAUACAUGCCAUGUAAUACAGUGAGGAAGAGCUGCACCACACUGAAAACCUUCAAUGUAUAUGUUCCCAUAGUGCAUGACAGCCCCUGUCAGCUUGUAGAUGGCUGUCUUUUCAUCAGCAGUGAAGCCCAGGAUGUCAAUGGCACUCUGGGCAAUGACAGGCCAAGCAUUCAGUCUAUCCUUCCUGACUCACCUGCAUUUUGCCUGAUGACUUCUCCUCUUUCUUCUUCUCUCCACUGGCUGCAAUUGUUGCAAAGUACUGGAUGACACGCUUGGUGUUCACAGUCUUCCCGGCCCCGGAUUCUCCGCUGCCAAAGCCAAGAGAGAAGCAGAGGUCUUGACAGUGACUUUUCCCGAUUCCCUGCUCGUGAUUGUCCCUUUCACAAAGGAUUCUUUGGGAUGAACCACAAAGACUGAUGACUUGGCAUCGAAAGGUUUGUUCUGGGCUGCAAUUCUCUCCUUCUCCGAUUUUCGGAGGUAAGGAGCUGCCUCCCCAAAAACAGCCAUCUCAGCAUCUCCAGAGGCCAUGGCUGCCCUUUACUGAGGAUAUCUCAGCGGAUGACUCUGAGGAGAAAAAAUAUGGUAAUAAAUAUAUUUUUUGUCUGGAGUAAGAAAAUGGAUAUCUAAUAAAGCUGAGAAUUCUGGCACUCUACAAAGGUGGUUAGAAGGGUGAACUUCACAGAAGCAAAGCACAGCAGAGAUAAAUGGCAGGAGGCAGGCUGGAAGCCAUCUCUGGAUAGACUGUGCUGCACAGCAAUGCAGUGUCGUCAAGGUGCACAUUCCCAUGGAGGAGAAAGGAUUCAGUCGUGCUGAAAAUAGCUCCUUCUUGAGACAGAGAUCAGACAGCUGCUCCCUCCCUGCCAGGGCCUAAGAUGUGCAUUUUGUUCCCCCCAUCCCAGUAGUUAACUGAGAGAUAAGGAGUGAGAAGGCACUUUUUAGUCAGGCUGGGGAGGGCAAGGCUAAAUUCCUGCAGGUGCUGUGUGUUGGCCACUGGGAACUUCCCCCUCCUCCCUGCUCAGACUCAUCAAGUUCAUGAACUGGAAACACAAGAAUGGCUUGUAUGGGCAACAGCAGGAAAAGGAAUGGGUUUUUGUAGUCUUUACCCCUGGAAGCUACUCUCAGGCUAUAUGGUCUGUGAUUCCCUAAGACAGACAGCCCUCCAAGGUGUCCCUUCUGGCUGGGGAAGUCUCCAAGUGUCCCUUCUGGCUGAUGAUGUGUCCAGGUGGCCACUCCCAUGCAGCUGAAGCCAUGGCUAUCAGUGAAAUAUUUUAUUUCACUUCAUUCAAUCAACAGACAGUUAAUUCCAUGGCACUUGCCAAAGCAUGUCCCUCCAGAGCACCAAAUCCAUAGCAAUGCUUCUCAUGAACAUCAGCUGAAAUGUCCUCAGCAGAAGCAGCAGGCUUUGGUUGCUUUCAGUCCUUGAAGAGCAGAGUGACCUGCAGGCAGAGCCAGAGAUCUGUGGGGCUCAUUGGGGCAGCAAAAUGCAUCACAUCACAGCAGCAAGGAGCUCCACCAGCAGUGGGUGAGACUCAGGAUUGGCACAGCCCAGCUCACAGAGCAGUGGGGAGCCAGCAAAGAGCAGCGGAAGAGCUGGCCCAGGAGGUGACAUUCAGGAUGUCCUUUCUGUCACCCACCACAGCAGCUGAGGAGCUCCUGUUACAGAGCAGGGGAGUGGGGUGGGCAGGCUAAGACGCCUCCGGGCUGCUCCUGCUCCACUUGGCUGCGAGAGGGGACAAGACUUUCUGCAAUUCUGCUGUUCCUGGAGCCUCUGCUUUCCUCACCAGGGAAGGGAUUCAUGAACUGGGGCCUCUUGCUGAUCUGCAAAGCAGAAGAUGGAGUUCUGGGUCCACAGGCAUUGCAUUUUUAUUUGCAGAGAGGGGAUGCCCUAUCCACCCCAAGGAGCCCUGACUGACUGCUGGAAGUACCUGGGCCGUGGGACAGCACAUCCCAGCAGGGAAUGGCCAUGGCCACAGUGCUGGGCCCCAUUCUGGUGUUUAACCUUUCAGCUGGCAAUGGAGCUGUGCUGCACUGAGUCUCUCUGGGGUAAGAAUAGCAGCUGCUGCCUUGGGACACAGCACACGUGUCCAGCUCCUCCAGGGCAGCACGUUGCAGUGCCACACACAAGGCAGCCUACCCGCUCAGGAAUGUCUUCAGGCGCUAUUAGUGGAAGCAGAUCAUCCCCACAAACAGGCACGACCCCGCACAGGAGCCUUGGGAGAGUGGGGCUAUUUUGGGCUUUGGCAUUGAGCGUGAAAGGAGGAUGGGCUCAUCCUCCUGCCAUGAGCCUCCUCCAAAACUCCUUUGGGCCUUGUCCCCUCCUCCAGCAAUGGCUCUUGUGGAGGCUGAGGGGCAGUUUUGUGUGGCCUGGGAGUGCAGGAGGUGAGGGCAAAGGGAGCUGUGAGUUUGCUGGUGGGGCAAGGCCAGCCCUCAGUGCCAUCAGCAGUGCCCAGCUGUGCUCAGGGGAGGUCCUGCCUGAGGGCAUGGGGCCUCUGCUUCAUUCUCAACCACACCCAUGAGAGUGAGAGAGGUACCAGAGAGUAUGUAAGGCUCCAACUUUUUGAAAUCAAGUAUUGAAACACCAAUCCUUUGCAUCCAGCAGGGUAUUUGCUUCUUUCCACCUGAAGCUCUCCAUUUCUGAGCGGUUCUUCAGCACUCUUCUUCCAUUUUCCUAUUCCCUACCAUAACAAAUUCCCUCCCUAACUUAUUCCUAUCCUUUUAAGAUCCUCUUUCUGGUGUGGAUUUCUUUCAUUGCAUAUUUUUAAUGUCUCAUUUAUUUAUGUUUCAUUUGCCUUGCUUUGUGAAUGUUUCAGUGAUUUGCCAGCACUUAAUCCACCACACUCAUUGGUGCAUUGGCCAGGAAAUCUCAAAUUAGCAAAGCAAAACCACUACACUGGGGCAAGAGCAAACAGUAAACUUUGUCCCAAAACCAGGCAAGAGGGCUGGGAGGAUUGCAUGACAAUGCCAUGUUAUGCCUGGAUACUCUGAAAUGAAUAAUGACAGGCUGGUAAGGGUUACUAGACUUGCCUAGCAAUUAGUAGUUUUCUGGUGAUUUUGCACAGCUACUCCUAAACAAGAUACAACUGUUUUUCUGCAGGUUCAUGAAGCAGAAAUUCAUGUUGCACUGAGUAACCAAUCAUUUGACAUGGGGUCAGUGACAUUCAGCUCAGCAGGGCUUUGGACUGAAACACAGCACUGUGUCAUAAGCUGCUGAGAAUGUGCUGCUUCUAGGCUACAGGAGCUGGAACAGAAUUCCUCCUUUGGAAAAGCAAAAAGCCUGUCAAACCUCUAGGUUUUAAAUUCAGGAUGAAAUUGGUCAAAGUGAAAUAGUAAGACUCAGAACAGAAACAGAAGUAGUAAGACUCAAAGCCACACUUUUGACUAUAAUUAGUAACAAGAUGAGACUCUCAUUUAAACAUUCACAUUUGGAACAUUUGAAGUUGCAGAUAUCUAUUUUAUUGACACUGGUACAGCAGCAGUGACAGAAAAUGUUUGUGUUCUUAAACAAAGAGAAAAUUACUUCCUCAGCUGGAGAGGUACCUUGUGGAAGUUCUAGUUAUCCCAGAGGAAGCUCAUUUUUCAGUUCCUAACACCACCUAGAAAGGAGAGGCUUUGUUCAGUGUACACAUGCCAAGAUGAGUCUUUUGAUUCCUAAAAUCAUCCAGCUCAGAGCACCAUCCAGCUAGGAUGGGCAAGGGAGUCUGAGCCAAUGCAGACAUGUGUGGAACCCUUAAAACCACUGUGUGAAUUAAAUAUAUGCAGGUAACACUAAGAUGGCCAUCAUCCACAGCUGAAGCAUGAAGAAAAUAUUAAUUACAUUGUUUCACUGGCAAAAAACAAGGACACAUGCACUGCUAAGCUUAUUCCAUUUUAACAAUAACAACCCACUCAACUUGCAUUUAAAAGGCCCUUCCUUUCCAAAUGAUGCCUGUACAAGGCACAAAUCUGCUGCUACACUCACUUGAGCAAACAGCACACCUGCAGGAAAGCCUUACCUUUGUAGCAGAGCCUUCUCUGGCCUUAGCUCUGAGUUUAUUUGCUUGGCUCUCAGCAAUGUCUGCCCUUUCCAGGGCCUCACCUAUCUUAUGCAGUGCAUGUCUCAGUUUGCAGAGAUCAGUAUUGGCUUGUUCACCCUGAAAUUGCAAAACAAAAAUUUAAAACCAUUUGGCAACAUGCUGGGGCACAGAGCCAAGUUUUGAACUGGCAGUCCUAUGAACUGGGAAAUAACUGUUAGCUUCAAUUUAGUGACUCACAGCUUCCUCAGCUUGUUUUCUGUAGGAUUUGAUUUUCAUCUGCAGUUGAUCUACCAGAUCUUGUAACCUAACCAUGUUCUUCUUUUGUUCUUCACACUGUGGAAAGAGAACGUGCAAUUUUAUGUCCUUGGGAGACAAAACAUCAGAAUUACUUUCUAUUUUUACCCACCUGAAAAGUGAGCUCUUUGAAACGCCGUUCAUAUUUGCAGAUGUUUUUCAUAGCCUCU